rnacentral:rRNA from 1 species
UACGUAGGGGGCAAGCGUUGUCCGGAAUCAUUGGGCGUAAAGCGCGUGUAGGCGGCUCGGUAAGUCUGCUGUGAAAGUCCAGGGCUCAACCCUGGAAUGCCGGUGGAAACUGUCGGGCUAGAGUCCGGAAGAGGCGAGUGGAAUUCCUGGGGUAGCGGUGAAAUGCGCAGAUAUCAGGAGGAACACAAAUGGCGAAGGCAGCUCGCUGGGACGGUACUGACGCUGAGACGCGAAAGCGUGGGGAGCAAACAGG